AUUGAACGCUGGCGGCAUGCCUUACACAUGCAAGUCGAACGGCAGCACGGGUGCUUGCACCUGGUGGCGAGUGGCGAACGGGUGAGUAAAGUAUCGGAACGUGCCUGGUAGUGGGGGAUAACUAGUCGAAAGACUAGCUAAUACCGCAUACGAUCUAAGGAUGAAAGCAGGGGACCUUCGGGCCUUGUGCUAUCAGAGCGGCCGAUAUCUGAUUAGCUAGUUGGUGGGGUAAAAGCCCACCAAGGCGACGAUCAGUAGCUGGUCUGAGAGGACGACCAGCCACACUGGAACUGAGACACGGUCCAGACUCCUACGGGAGGCAGCAGUGGGGAAUUUUGGACAAUGGGGGCAACCCUGAUCCAGCAAUGCCGCGUGAGUGAAGAAGGCCCUCGGGUUGUAAAGCUCUUCUGUCAGGGAAGAAAAGGCUGUGGCUAAUAUCCACAGCUGCUGACGGUACCUGAAGAAUAAGCACCGGCUAACUACGUGCCAGCCGCCGCAGUAA
rnacentral:rRNA from 1 species